rnacentral:tRNA from 1 species
GGGCGAUUAGCUCAGUUGGCUAGAGCGCCUGCCUUACAAGCAGGAGGUCGGUGGUUCGAGUCCACUAUCGCCCACCA